rnacentral:rRNA from 1 species
UACGUAGGGGGCGAGCGUUGUCCGGAAUUACUGGGCGUAAAGCGUGCGCAGGCGGUUUUGUAAGUUUGUCGUGAAAUCCCCGGGCUCAACCUGGGAAUGGCGAUGAAGACUGCAAGGCUAGAGUUUGGCAGAGGGGGGUAGAAUUCCACGUGUAGCAGUGAAAUGCGUAGAUAUGUGGAGGAACACCGAUGGCGAAGGCAGCCCCCUGGGUCAAAACUGACGCUCAUGCACGAAAGCGUGGGGAGCAAACAGG